rnacentral:tRNA from 1 species
ACCUGGGUGGCUCAGUGGUUGAGCGUCUGCCUUUGGUGCAGAGCAUGGUCUCAGGUU